UGCUUAUCGUUCUUCCAUGAUCACCUCCAUGUGAGCCCACAAAAUGUGGAUCUGGUUGUGGAAGUGUGCCGUACAUCUCCUGGAGCAUCCGAGGAGGAAAAGAAAGCUUAAGUUAUUACAUUCUUGACAGGCUGAAAGAGUAACUCCAGUGUUGAGUUAUGUGGGCUGCUGGAUGGAGUGCAUCUGUCCACAAAGCCCACCGUAACACCUGCACCACCUGCUGGACUUGAGUGUCCACCUCCUCCCUCAAGUUGUGUUAAAAAACAGGACCCACUGUGACGCCAGCUCAUCGGUGCAGAUCACUAUGACCUCUUGGUUCUUUAGAAAACAGGACCCCACUUUUAAAGCAUCUGGUUCACAUCAGCUAGUUUCUCUCGAUUGCUAACAUACUUAAUACU